UCUCCUUCAUUUUUAUAAGGUAGAAUGUUUGUAUGAAGCCUUUGCCUGACCUCAUAAAAGCUUUAUCUUCAUUCUUUUCAGAAGAGAAAAAGUUUGAUUCUGUCUUCCUUUUUGCUUAAAAAGGGGAGAAAAGAGAAAGAGAAUUAUUUUCUAGUGCUUUUUUAAAACCUGGAACACCUUUUAUAAUCUGCCUUCCUCUUUGGCAAUAGCUGACCUCUUUCUGUACUUAGUGCAUUGUAGUCACUAAUGAAAACUGAAUGUCUAUCCCACAAGUUCACAAGCGACUUCCCCUUUCCCUACAUCUUGACUGAGAAGGAGGAGCCAAAAGUUUCUUUCUAUUGUACCUCCUACCUCUAUUAAUAAAGCCUCUUCCAUACCUAUUUCCCUCCCUUUCUUUAUUCUUCCUCUAGGUUUUGUUAGCUGUGCACACACAUAUAGCUCCUAUUGUAGAAUGGAGAAGUUCCAUUGAGGGAAGCAGGAUUAGAAAGCCUGACCUAUGUACAGCAUGAGUUUGGCCAGUUACAUACAUCAAUAGACAGAGUCUAGCUGCCUAAAUUAAUCUUGAUACUGUCAAUACCACACUGAAAUCUUGCUAACAGUGAUUGUAGGGCCAUUAAUCUUUUAUCCAAGGCUGAUCCCAGGGGCAUAACCAUCCUGAAUACAGUUGACUUUGAAGUUCAUCUGGCUAAGAUCCAGAAACAAGCUUUUGGACUUGGAAAGGCUCACUCCAAAUGAAAGGCUUACGAAUGAAAAGGUUCUAUAUGGGAAAAUGGAGGCAAAACCCCCCCCCUGCAUUUGAACAUAGUGCUCUGGUAUCCAUCCUCUUGCCUUGUAUGAUGAAAAUUAAACAUAUGUACAAAUAAAAUGUCAGCUUGAUUGUCUGGCAAUGUUCCUCCAAGAUUUCAAUCUCUCUAGAGUUGUGAAAACCAAAAGUACAGUACAUUCUGGAAUUUGGGAUACAGACAUUUGAUCAGCAGCAGUCCCUAGCAGUGGUUCAGAUAUGGAACCAGAGAUUGAUCUAAAACGUGUGUGUGGUCAAUGCUCAAAGAAAAACAAGCUCUUGGUUUGGAGGAAAACACAGUGUGAAAGGUAAGUCAAUUUUAUUUAUUCAAUUGGCAGUCUAUACAGACACAUAUUCUGUAAACAUUUUUCUGGGAACUGAACAUCAUCUUCUACAAAGACAGAAUUCAUUGAUAAUUGUAGAGACAUUUUCAUACCUGCUUAAAUCUUAUUCUGGGGGAUUGUGAGAAAUAUAAUGAAAAAUGUAACUCUUCUAAAUCUUUGUGCACUAUUUUGCUGGUAACCUUCAAUUGUAUCUCAGUCUUAACCAAAACACAAUUGAAAGUUACCUGCAAAUUAGUGCACAAAGAUUUUGGAGAGUUACAUUU
rnacentral:lncRNA from 1 species